CGACGACUCUGUGAAGAGGGCAGGAGGGAAAAGGCAGGAGAGAUCAGCCAGCCUGACUCCAGAGGGACAGCUCCGCCGUCCCCAGAUGUCGCGGGUGUCCUGGUAACCGGCAGCAAGGAGAUUCCUGGAAGCAAGGCUCUGGGGACCAUGGCCUGGCCCUGCUGAGUGCCACCAUCCUGGGCCAAGCCACCAUCCCCUCCUGCCUGGAUGACAACAGCAGCUCUGGGACACCCCCUUGCAUCCAAGCUUGCCUCCUCCCCUUCACCAUUGCCCACGGAAAUGAAGCUGGAUUGGUCUUCCUAAAGCGAGAAUAAACUCAUCUGCCACAAACCCCUGAGGCCUCCAUUCUUCUCAGUGCAG
rnacentral:lncRNA from 1 species